rnacentral:rRNA from 1 species
UAAGGAAUAUUGGACAAUGGCCGCAAGGCUGAUCCAGCCAUGCCGCGUGCAGGAUGAAGGCGCUCAGCGUUGUAAACUGCUUUUGUUCGGGAAAAAACCCCUGCAUUCUUGCAGGGCUGAUGGUACCGAGAGAAUAAGGGACGGCUAACUUCGUGCCAGCAGCCGCGGUAAUACGAAGGUCCCAAGCGUUAUCCGGAUUUAUUGGGUUUAAAGGGUGCGUAGGCGGAUUAUUAAGUCAGUGGUGAAAGCCCCAGGCCUAACCUGGGAACUGCCAUUGAUACUGAUGAUCUUGAGUACAUUUGAGGAGGGCGGAAUGUGUCAUGUAGCGGUGAAAUGCUUAGAUAUGACACAGAACACCAAUUGCGUAGGCAGCUCUCUAAACUGUAACUGACGCUGAGGCACGAAAGCGUGGGGAGCAAACAGG